AACGAACGCUGGCGGCAGGCUUAACACAUGCAAGUCGAGCGAGACCUUCGGGUCUAGCGGCGGACGGGUGAGUAACGCGUGGGAACGUGCCCUUCUCUACGGAAUAGCCCCGGGAAACUGGGAGUAAUACCGUAUACGCCCUUUGGGGGAAAGAUUUAUCGGAGAAGGAUCGGCCCGCGUUGGAUUAGGUAGUUGGUGGGGUAAUGGCCCACCAAGCCGACGAUCCAUAGCUGGUUUGAGAGGAUGAUCAGCCACACUGGGACUGAGACACGGCCCAGACUCCUACGGGAGGCAGCAGUGGGGGAUCUUAGACAAUGGGGGCAACCCUGAUCUAGCCAUGCCGCGUGAGUGAUGAAGGCCUUAGGGUUGUAAAGCUCUUUCAGCUGGGAAGAUAAUGACGGUACCAGCAGAAGAAGCCCCGGCUAACUCCGUG
rnacentral:rRNA from 1 species